GCCAGACUCCUACGGGAGGCAGCAGUGGGGAAUAUUGCACAAUGGGGGAAACCCUGAUGCAGCGACGCCGCGUGAGUGAAGAAGUAUUUCGGUAUGUAAAGCUCUAUCAGCAGGGAAGAAGAAGGACGGUACCUGAGUAAGAAGCCCCGGCUAACUACGUGCCAGCAGCCGCGGUAAUACGUAGGGGGCAAGCGUUAUCCGGAUUUACUGGGUGUAAAGGGAGCGUAGACGGCAGUGCAAGUCCGGAGUGAAAGCCCGGGGCUCAACCCUGGGACUGCUCUGGAAACUGUAAAGCUGGAGUGCGGGAGGGGCAGGCGGAAUUCCUGGUGUAGCGGUGAAAUGCGUAGAUAUCAGGAGGAACACCGGUGGCGAAGGCGGCCUGCUGGACUGCGACUGACGUUGAGGCCCGAAAGCGUGGGGAGCAAACAGGAUUAGAUACCCGGGUA
rnacentral:rRNA from 1 species